CCUUGCCCCUUUCCCUUUAUUCCUUCCAAGAUUGUUCAUCACGACCUGGGUAUGUGGUCUCCAACUGGUAGGGCAUGCUGCCACCCUGUGGGCAGGAGUGCCUUGGUAACAUCUCCGUGGUGACUGCAAUGGCUGGGGUUCAGACAGCCAGGCUCCCAACAAUGUGGUCAAAGUCUGCCCAACACAUUGCUGGUCAGCAGACAUGUCCCUCUGAGCCCUCCACCUCUCAGCACAGCCAUAGCUGCCCUUUCUUCCUGGCUGCCUAGAGAAGCUCCAAACGCUAGCAGGUCAGGAAGACAUCAGAGAUGAGGAAACUCCCCAUUUAAACCUGGAGCAGCUGCACUGUACCUCUGGACCAAGAUCACAGUUAACCAGACUUUAUUCCAGCCCCAUGUCAGCAGGGGCCCUCUCUCUGCUGGGAGACCCCGGGGCACUUGGAUGCUGGGGGAAACUUACCCGGCAGCCUCUCACUGCAGCACAUGUCCAGGGCCCCUCCCUCGGAGUCAUCAGCGGCGAGGCUCUCUCUCUCACUCCUGCAGCAGGAUGAAAGAUAUGAGAUGAGGCUGUUGAGCCUGGAUCAGGACAAAAUCCCAAGCAAAGAUAAAAAGACUUCAGCACUCUGUCCCUUAAGUAGCCUCACCUUAUCAGAGGGACCUGAGGGAAAGACCAGUCUAUCAAAUAGGUUAGACACCUGCAGAAUUUUGCAGGUGUCUUCCAUGUAGAAUCAUCAACAUCACCAUCUUCCCUAAUAUGGGGGGCUUACUUUGUGCAAAAGCACUUUACAAACUUUACCAUGUUGAGUUCUCACCAUGACCCCAUGAAUCAGGGGUCAUUAAACAAGUUCAGAGAGAUUAAGUAACUUGCCUGGGAUCACAGAGCUCAUUAGAGUGGAGCUGGGUUUGAAAUCAUGGAUUCCAAGCUCAUGUUCUUAUUGCUCUGUAGUUCUGCUUCCUAAAUCCUGUGGUUUUGAACCAGGGCUGAGCAAGAAGAGGGGUCUGGUAACCACAGUCCUGUGUCCAGCUCAC
rnacentral:lncRNA from 1 species